GUUUUUAUCCUAUUAUACUCAUUCUUUCACUAAUCUUUACAGCUUUUUCCAGAUUUUAUAUCACGCACUUCCUCUGCUACUAUAGCCCAGAAGGCAAACUUCUUUAGACCCAAACCUCCCUCUAGGAAGCUGGAAAAUGCACCUUCCCAGUCACAGCUUCCUCCAUCCAAGAAGACCAAGGCACCAGCCAAGAUGUACAGGCCCAAAAUUAGGAAGUCUCCUCUCUCCCCGAAGAGAUAGCAAGGAGGAUCAUCACUGCCUCCCAUUAGGAGCUCCAA
rnacentral:misc_RNA from 1 species